rnacentral:lncRNA from 1 species
AUAUUGGGGAUAUUACACAUGAAGAACUUCUUAAAGGCGAAAAUCUUAAAGGACAAGAAGCUCGAGGGGAUGAUGUCAAACAAAGAGAUGUUGGACAUGGCGCACGUGUGCGCCAUGUAACACGACACGUAUGACCUCGCAUGACAACCCACAUCGAUGUAUGCAUGUUAGCUGAAACCCAAAAGAGGUCGUGACCUAAGAGACAUGCUGGAGCUGAGAAGGGACGACCGACCCAUCUAGGCCUUAAGACCUGGUCUGAAGAAGCUUGGAUUGUGUUUAUUGUUUCCUUAAAGCAUCGAACUUGGUCGAUCUAAAAGGGGUCCAACAAGGCCAUUUAAAGAAGACACGAAGCAAGGAGGUCCAUGGGCCUUUUUUCAAUGGGGCCUUUGGUAGCAGUAGCUAUGCAGGCUGAGAGUCUUGCGCAAUGGGGUGGGCCUGCAUCCAAACAAGAUGUUC